rnacentral:rRNA from 1 species
GUGAGGAAUUUUGGACAAUGGGCGCAAGCCUGAUCCAGCAAUGCCGCGUGCAGGAAGAAGGCCUUCGGGUUGUAAACUGCUUUUGUACGGAACGAAAAGGCUCUGGCUAAUACCUGGAGCUCAUGACGGUACCGUAAGAAUAAGCACCGGCUAACUACGUGCCAGCAGCCGCGGUAAUACGUAGGGUGCGAGCGUUAAUCGGAAUUACUGGGCGUAAAGCGUGCGCAGGCGGUGCUGUAAGACAGGCGUGAAAUCCCCGGGCUCAACCUGGGAAUUGCGCUUGUGACUGCAGCGCUCGAGUGCGGCAGAGGGGGAUGGAAGUCCGCGUGUAGCAGUGAAAUGCGUAGAUAUGCGGAGGAACACCGAUGGCGAAGGCAAUCCCCUGGUCCUGCACUGACGCUCAUGCACGAAAGCGUGGGGAGCAAACAGGAUUAGAUACCCCUGUAGUCC